UGACUCCUCAUCGCAUGGUGGGGGGUGGAAAGCUUUUUGUGGUUUUGGAUGGACUCGCGGCCUAUCAGCUUGUUGGUGAGGUAAUGGCUUACCAAGGCGACGACGGGUAGCCGGCCUGAGAGGGUGACCGGCCACACUGGGACUGAGACACGGCCCAGACUCCUACGGGAGGCAGCAGUGGGGAAUAUUGCACAAUGGGCGCAAGCCUGAUGCAGCGACGCCGCGUGAGGGAUGACGGCCUUCGGGUUGUAAACCUCUUUCAGUAGGGAAGAAGCGAAAGUGACGGUACCUGCAGAAGAAGCGCCGGCUAACUACGUGCCAGCAGCCGCGGUAAUACGUAGGGCGCAAGCGUUAUCCGGAAUUAUUGGGCGUAAAGAGCUCGUAGGCGGUUUGUCGCGUCUGCCGUGAAAGUCCGGGGCUCAACUCCGGAUCUGCGGUGGGUACGGGCAGACUAGAGUGAUGUAGGGGAGACUGGAAUUCCUGGUGUAGCGGUGAAAUGCGCAGAUAUCAGGAGGAACACCGAUGGCGAAGGCAGGUCUCUGGGCAUUAACUGACGCUGAGGAGCGAAAGCAUGGGGAGCGAACAGGAUUAGAUACCCUGGUAGUCCAUGCCGUAAACGUUGGGCACUAGGUGUGGGGGACAUUCCACGUUUUCCGCGCCGUAGCUAACGCAUUAAGUGCCCCGCCUGGGGAGUACGGCCGCAAGGCUAAAACUCAAAGGAAUUGACGGGGGCCCGCACAAGCGGCGGAGCAUGCGGAUUAAUUCGAUGCAACGCGAAGAACCUUACCAAGGCUUGACAUGAACCGGAAACACCUGGAGACAGGUGCCCCGCUUGCGGUCGGUUUACAGGUGGUGCAUGGUUGUCGUCAGCUCGUGUCGUGAGAUGUUGGGUUAAGUCCCGCAACGAGCGCAACCCUCGUUCUAUGUUGCCAGCACGUGAUGGUGGGGACUCAUAAGAGACUGCCGGGGUCAACUCGGAGGAAGGUGGGGACGACGUCAAAUCAUCAUGCCCCUUAUGUCUUGGGCUUCACGCAGGCUACAAUGGCCGGUACAAAGGGUUGCGAUACUGUGAGGUGGAGCUAAUCCCAAAAAGCCGGUCUCAGUUCGGAUUGGGGUCUGCAACUC
rnacentral:rRNA from 2 species